GGGGCGUCUGUUUUCUAAGUUCAUUUGAGUUUGCAAAGUUCCUGCCUUUGAUCCCCAGAUUGUUCCUCAGGAGCGGGGCGGGGGGCGGGAGUUUGCAGCUGGACACAGUUACGCUACGGAGAGAUAAUCCCAAGCAACAGACCUUUGCAAACUGUAUAGAUCAUCUUCCGCAAGAAACCUUUCUCCCUCCCUAGAAACGGGAACUUACCAAGCCCUGUGAUCAUCAUGUAAGGCCAUUCUUCAUAUGCCUUCUCCAUGAGCGGUCCAGAGGGUGGCAACAUAAGAACGGGCCUUUUAUGCAGUGGUUCCCUGUUUGUGGAAUGCUCAUCCCUGGAACAUUUACCUGGCACCUUCAUUAUACACCUUUAGACACCAGGCUAAAAUGUUCCGCUUCAACCAAGCCUUUGGCUCAGUAACAUCCUUUGCAGUGGUGCCUCGGUUUUCAAACAUAAUCCAUUCCAGAAGAUGGUUCGACUUACGAAACGUUCGAAAACUGAAGCAGUUACUUCUGGAAGCAUUUACUUACAGAAAACUCAAUACGGAAGCCGAAAAGCAUUUGAAAACCGAUGCAGUUACUUCCAGGUUUUUGGUGUUCGAAAACCAGAAGGUUCAACUUCCGAGACGUUCAAAAACCAAGCAGCUGGUAUACAGAAACAUACUUCCCCCAACAGCUGAGAUGGAAAAUACAAAGAGUCUGCUGGAUCAAGCCAAUGCCCCAUCUAGUCCAGCAGCCUGUUCUCAGAGUGGCCAACCAGAUGCCCCAAUAGGAAGAAGCUCACAAGCAGGAACCAAUCACAAGAGCACUCUCUCCCACUGUUGUUUCCAGCAACUGGUAUUCAGAAGCAUCGCUGCCUCCAACCAUGUGGGUGGAGCAUAGCCAUUGUGACUAGUAGCCAUCAAUAGCCUUCUGUUCCUUCAUGAAUUUGUCAAAUAAUCUCUUAAAGCCAUCCUAGUUGGUGACCAUCAGUGCCUCCUGUGGGAGCAAGGAGUCAGCUAGACUGAGUACAAAGCUUCAGAAAAAAAGAUGAGAGAGACUUAUUGGAUAUGUUUAUUAUAUGAGAAUAAGAAGAUCUGCAGCCCAUUCAACCAAGUAUGAACGUGAAAUGUACAUGAACAUAUGCAUGGAUUUUCAUGUAUACUUUUAAAAAAAAUGCAAGUGUUGUUGGAAAUGUGGAGAACCAAAGCUAAGAUUUUAAAUACGAGAAGUUGAAAUGCACACAUCCCUGUAUCCCUAAGGGAAGUAUCUCCAGCAUAGUUUCGAUGGAGACUCUAUCAAGGUAUCCACAAAAUCUCCCUUUGCAGUAGCUGGUGCUUUGCCAUUAAACUGAAAAGGUCACGAUUCCAGACAAUGAGCUAUUUGUGCCGACCAAAAUGAGGGGCGGGGGAGUUGCCCCACAUCUGGAGACCAAAAAAAAAGAAAAAGGAGAGAGAGAUGAAGAAUGACAAAUAUCAAGUGAAUCACAAAGUUGGUCAGGACCUGCAUGCUGUCAUUUUAGAGGCCACGAAUGCAGCCCAGCCAACUCCCCUCUUGAUUUCUCCAGUGUGUCAAAAGUAUGGUUUUGUUGUGGUAAAAGCUGGAAUCUUCCCCACUGGAGAGGAUCACUUGAGCCCGAAGGGUCACUGACCUCCUUAGGAGCGUCCCAGUUACAUAGAAAUGUGCAAGCCCACACCCUCAUUUGCACACCCUCUGGCAUUUCAGAGACAAAGAUAGUUGCUAGUGGGGACAGCCUUUAUUCUUUUUUGUUUUAAAAAAAGAUUUUGUUGGAGCAAAUCAAACAAAUCAAUAAAAUAAAAACAACCAAAGUGGAAUAGGAUGUUAGUGUAUUUUGCUUAUUUCUUGACAAACCAUCAUCCAGAAUUUGCGCAUACCUGAAAUCUGUUUGUUGUGCCAGAGAGAUGUCUGAGUGCCAAAAGAAAAAG